rnacentral:rRNA from 1 species
CCUACGGGGGGCAGCAGUAGGGAAUUUUUCACAAUGGGCGAAAGCCUGAUGGAGCAAUGCCGCGUGAAUGAUGAAGGUCUUAUAGAUUGUAAAAUUCUUUUAUUUGGGAAGAAAAACUAAAGUAGGAAAUGACUUUAGUCUGACUGUACCAUUUGAAUAAGUAUCGGCUAACUAUGUGCCAGCAGCCGCGGUAAUACAUAGGAUGCAAGCGUUAUCCGUAUUUACUGGGCGUAAAACGAGCGCAGGCGGGUUAACAAGUUUGGUAUGAAAGGCUUUUGCUUAACGAAAGUUUGUAUCAAAAACUGUUAAUCUAGAGUGUAGUAGAGAGUUCUGGAAUUCCAUGUGGAGCGGUGGAAUGCGUAGAUAUCACACAGAACACCGAGUGCGAAGGCAGCUUUCCAAGCUAUUACUGACGCUGAGGCACGAAAGCGUGGGGAGCGAACAGGAUUAGAUACCCUUGUAGUC